rnacentral:rRNA from 1 species
AUUGAACGCUGGCGGCAGGCCUAACACAUGCAAGUCGAGCGGAUGAAGGGAGCUUGCUCCUGGAUUCAGCGGCGGACGGGUGAGUAAUGCCUAGGAAUCUGCCUGGUAGUGGGGGAUAACGUCCGGAAACGGGCGCUAAUACAGCAUACGUCCUGAGGGAGAAAGUGGGGGAUCUUCGGACCUUACGCUAUCAGAUGAGCCUAGGUCGGAUUAGCUAGUUGGUGGGGUAAAGGCCUACCAAGGCGACGAUCCGUAACUGGUCUGAGAGGAUGAUCAGUCACACUGGAACUGAGACACGGUCCAGACUCCUACGGGAGGCAGCAGUGGGGAAUAUUGGACAAUGGGCGAAAGCCUGAUCCAGCCAUGCCGCGUGUGCGAAGAAGGUCUUCGGAUUGUAAAGCACUUUAAGUUGGGAGGAAGGGCAGUAAGUUAAUACCUUGCUGUUUUGACGUUACCAACAGAAUAAGCACCGGCUAACUUCGUG